rnacentral:lncRNA from 1 species
AUUUCAGUACCCUAUGUAAUUCAUGAACACACAAGCACAAUCCAAACCCUGAAACGACCAACUUUCAAUCCACAGAAUUUGAUCAAGACAAUUCCUUCAAUUACAAUUCCUCUCCACUGAACUUACAACCUUAUGAUAAAAGUGACUAAAAAAUUCCAUACAUCUUCAAUCUUUUAUAACAAUUGAUAAACAGUGAUCCAUAAAUAAUUUCAUAAAUCAAACAUUGAUUCAUUAAAUUGAUUCUCUUCUCUAGAAUCAACACUAACACAAAAAAAACAAGAAAACUAAGAAGAAGAGAUAGCACCAAGCUUAUCCUUGGCUCAGUACUAU